CGGUGGUGGCGACCUGGUCUUUUUUGACAGGCAUCUGACUUCCAGAGCAUUCAGAUCUCUGAGACACAGCAGGAUGCAUGGAGAAAUUCAAUGCUUACUGCUAAUGCCAAAAAAACACGGGUGUUGGAUGAAUUAAUGUGCCUGGUUCAGAACUCAGAAGUAUGAAGAGGGUAUACAUAACCAGAUCAUACGUCUCUGCACUAACAAACCGGUGCACAGAACACGACCAUACCUUGCGAGGACGAACAGCGAGACAACCGCCAAGAACCUAUCGGGAAAAAAGAAAAAGAAACAAGAAGAAAGAUCCCAUCAUGGUCGCUGAGCUGGUUCCAUCGUCCCCGUGCAUGUGCCAUCAAUUUGGAUGCAACAUGAGAAAGAAGCAUUUCGUCAAAGUGCAGAUUUCUGUCAGGGAACAAGUAACGUAACCACACCCUCAAAUAGUAUUAUUGCGCAUAGGAAUACAUAUCUGCUCCUGCACUUAAUUCUCAGUUGCUCCCAAUCAGUAGGGGUGUACUACUACUACUGUAGCUAAGCGAAGGCAGCUAGCGCCACCAUGGCAAUCAGAUGUGCUAGCUCACACGACAGGGUUGACGGCAUUGCUGCUGAGAGAGAAUUCGCUGAUCGAGCUGAA
rnacentral:lncRNA from 1 species